AGAAGAAUGACAGUGCGAUUCUCCUUUGGCAGAGCGUGUAACAAUAUUGCCACAAUAUUAAUAUUAUUACUAAUUUGGCACUACUUUCUGCCAAAGGAGAAUUGCCCUGCCAUUCAAUG
rfam:Morus notabilis contig14471, whole genome shotgun sequence.